UUUUAACAUUAAUUGAUUGUUUUACACUUUAGAAUAAAAUAUUUUUUGGCGGCAGGUCCUCUCCCACCAGGUCCAAGAAUUGUAAUGAUGAUGAAGAUGGGGAGAGAGACCCCCAGAAUAUUACCCCGAAGGCAACUUUUACUCUGGGGGACUCUCCCAUUCGAAAUCCGAAAGUGGCGGGAUCCUGGUGAGAGAAACUUUCUCUUUUAAUUCGUCUUUGGAGCACUCUGCUGGCCGAUUUGUCCCAUGGUCGUCUUGGCGGGUGAGUUGGUAUUUUUUCCCAUCAGGUGGCAACUCCUUGUGUCAGGUUGGAGGCGGGUGGCAGCACUCGUUGGGAAAAAAGGACGUCGACUUGAGGACAACAUUGGAGGGCAGUGGAUUUGGCGUGAGACCUGUAUGAAGCAUCGUCGUGUGGGUGGACAUUGUGUGGCGUCUUCGUGUACAGGUGCAGGUGAGUCCAGAGGAUGUCGUCAGGAUGGGUAAAAUAUAUCACAGGAAUAAGAAGAAGACAUGUAAACAAAGAUUUCUGGACAGGAUUUAGGAGCAUAUCACAUAGAUUGAACAGAUCCCAGGUGUUGAUGGCGAUGGAUGGCCUUUUCGCAUGUAUCCUUACAUGGUCUGCGCGUUCGAUAGGAAGUUCGUCGAGUGGUGGGUACGAAGUGCAGAGAGUUAUAUUUUCGAGUGGGAGCAGACCGCGUCAUCUUUAUCUUCGCAGGGCAGGCAGUGGAUCGUGUGAGUAAGGAUUUACGUAUUUUCCGUGUCCAUCUGUGAGUCAGGAAGAACGUCGUCAGGUACUUGUAGGAGAGAGCCCAGAGAUCGUGCCAGAGAUGUCCGUAUGCAUGGUGUAGGAGCGUGGGCUUUCCUAUUGGCAUCUUUUGCUGGGAACGCGGUUCGUCCUUGUGUCGUGGAGGAGGCGGUUUGCAGCAUUCAUUAUGGAAAGGGUAAACAUGCAGGAAUUUAUCUAAUUUGGUCUAGUCAGGUACGGAUACAUGUGAGUCCAGUGGAUGUCGUCAGGUUGGGUAAAAAUUUAUCCCAGGUGAGUAUCACAGAUAAUUAGAUCAGUCGUUUUUAGAUUCAAUUGCAUGUAGUGUAUGUAUAAAGGAAGAUAUGUAAACAAAGAAGAUUUCUAGACGGGAUUUUAGACGUAUUAAAAAAAACAGCAUUGAGCAGGUCCACAGUGACGGUGGCAGGGGAAGGCGUUUGACGGCUGGGUGUUGUUCCAUGGUCCUGAGUUUAUUUGUCCUUUCUCCUUACGGGUUCUGCACGUUCGUAGAGGGGUUCGUCAGGCUAGCAACGUGUUCAUGUAGAGUCAACAGGUUUUUUUUCCGAUAUAAGUGAGCGUCAUCAAGGAAAAAUUUUUUUGUCUGAGUGUCUGGGAUGGACUAAAUUUGGAUCAGGUCGCCGGCCAUUAGCAUGUCCAUUAGGGAUACACUACUGCCAAGAGAAGAGGCACCCAUUUCCUUGUCAACCGAUUCUUCUAGAGGUUACCCAGCUUCUCCCACAGCUUCGCUUGGAAACUUGUAUCCUGUUUUAGACGUUCAUCUACUUGCUGUUGCUGCAACUUUAUGUUUUCGGAGAUAUUAGUAAUAUUCUGCAUGACUUUGUGCAAAUUGUUAUCAGAAUAAGAGGCCAUUGUGGGCCGUUGUUGACCAA
rnacentral:misc_RNA from 1 species